UACUAGUAAUAGUAUCAGCAUCUUGUCCUAUUCCAUCAAGGCUGCCGUAACAAAAUACCACGGACUGAGUGGCUCAUAAACAAUAGAAAUUUAUUCUUCACGGCUCUGGAGACCGGCAAGUCCAAGGUCAACAUGCCGGCAGAUUCAGCGUCUGGUGAUAUCCCACUUUCUGGUUCACAGACUGCCAUCUUUGUGUUGUAACUUCACACAGCAGAAGCAAGGGGUUUCAACCUAAGAAUGCUGAGGGAACACGUUUCGUCUAUAGCGCAUUUGCAUAGAGCACAAUACAUGAUCAACUUCUCAAGGAUGUGAUCUCAUUGGAUGAUUACAGCAGCCCAAUGGGGUAAGUAAGGAAUUGUUUUUAACUCCAUUACAAGUGGUAUCUUACCCUCGACCCAGUACCAGCCAUAUCAUACUUUCCUAUCUCGACAGUGAAAGAAAAUGUUAACAGAAACAUUUUGUGCCUCCUGUAAGUAUUUAUUCUUACGGUAGAUAGAUGGUGAGACAGUGGGCGAUACAGACAUGUAUUUUCAACUCUUCCAAAGUCCAAAAAGGGGGGCGCCUGGGUGGCUCAGUUGGUCAAGAUUCCAACGUCGGCUCAGGUCAUGAUCUCACUGCUCAUGGGUUCGAGCCCCUAAUUGGGCUCUGUGCUGACAGCUCGGAGCCUGGAACCUGCUUCAGAUUCUGUGUGCGUGUGUGUGUGUGUGUGUGUGUCUGCCCCUUCCCCACUCGGUCUCUCUCUCUCUCUCUCUCACCCUCUCUUUCAAAAAUAAAACAUUUAAUGGAAAGUCCAACAAGAAUAAAGGGGGAGGGGCCUUAAAAGUCAAGGUUCUCAAUUUCACAGAUAAGGAAACCGAGGCCACGUAGCUGUUUAGUGUAGAGCCAGGAUUAUAGCCUGGGCCUCUGGACUUCUAUGUUUGGGUGUGCUUGAGAAUUUACCAAUUGGCGUGCAGACCUGAAAAUUCCUUGUCCUUCCAAAUGGCGGACCUCCCACAUCUGCACAGCUGCUGUUGGAUCGUGGAGACUUCUCUUGUACAGCUCGUCUUCUCUGGACAGCAAUGUUCCAGGAGAAGGCUGGCUUCAAGGACAUGAGAAACGGCACAUUCAAACAAAUAUACAUAUGCCUGUGUGUUCAUGCCAGUACUGAACAAUGCCAUCCAGGUGUCCAAAUAUAAUAACCUGUCUGUUUUCUUUUUUCCCGGAAGAGGAAGCGAUGGCCCAGAGAGGUUAACUAUUGCACGGGAUUUUGUUAGCCAAGUCACCAUCUGUUUGCUCCUUAACAAUGAGUCACCUCUACUCCUUAUAAGUAGGGCAGGAGGGCAGCUGGAAUUUCCCAGCUCGCUCCUUGGUCACUGCUUCCUGUUUCUGCUGCUUUUAUCCUCCACGGCACGGCUUCAUGGGCAAAAAAGUGAAACAGACACUACUACCCCGGGGUAGUCUGCCUGCACCGAGUCAGAUGACUUGGGCUUGUGUUACGGUAAGUCGAGGGCAAAAUGUGGGUCUGUCUUGACCAACGGUGUGAAUAAUCGAAUCUCCUCUCAAGUUUUAUUGCCCCGUAUUCCACCCAGAAAGGCACACGACCACACUCAGCCUAUCGAAGUCCGUGUGUGAGUGGCAGAGGCGGAGCCUGUCAUCAGGGAGGACGUUCAGGGGAUGGGUCCACACCGAAAAAAGGGAAAACAUUCGAAGAAGUGGUGCCUGUCUCCUUGCUUAUGUGAAAAAAAAAAAAAAAAAAAGAAAAGAAACACCAAAAAACAGAAAGCAAAAGCGAUCCUUGAAAGCAAAGACACACAAAGGAUCAUUCACUACUCUUGCUUGUCCCCAAGCCUAGAAAGCGCAGGGACCUCAUUUAGGACGGUGGCCUGAGUGUGUGUGUCUCCUUCCAGAGGGGGCCACCCUGAGAAUCAAGGGAAGAUGCACUCAGUUCCUAUGGCAGUUAGCACGUCCGGGGCACCUCCCUUAAAAUAACAUAGUCCCUGGGGCGUCUGGGUGGCUCAGUCGGUUAAGUGGCUGACUCUCGGUUUCCGCUCAGGUCAGGAUCUCACGGUCUGUGAGUUCGAGCCCCAUGCAGGGCUUUGCACUGGUAACACAGAGCAUGCUGGGAUGCUUUCUCUCCUUGCCUCUCUCUCUCUGCCCCUCCCCUGCUCAUGCUCUCUCUCUCUCUCUCUCUCUCAAAAUAAAUAAAUAAACAUAAUUUUUUAAAAAACAUACUCCUUUGUGCAGCUGUCAUGUUUGCAUUCCAUGUGUACGACUUGAAUUAUCCACUGUCUAGAACAAUGGAAAGCACAGAAUGAAUGUGCCACGGAUACUACUUUAUCUGAAAGAAUUCAAAAUUCUAGGAUGCCUCUUGAAAUGAACGCCUUGUUUCCAAGACUUCAUCUGUCAAGGGAAAACAUCAAGAGCUGGUAAGGUCACAGCGGGAUUAAAUUCUAGCGUCCAUUUAUUUUAUAAUUGGCACUCUGACCCUAACACUUUCUUUCCCUCUCCGUUUCUUAAAAACAAAGUAAAACAAGACAAGACAAGAACAAAACAACACGAAGCAACCCCCCUAUGAUUUCAAAAACAGAGCCAAAAUAAGGAGAAAGUGUCUAGUCUAGACCAGUAGGUGUCCCUAACACCUGUGGGCCCAGGUCACAAGUGUGCACGGAGGGAGAGAAGGGGGAGGCUCCCUUCUCUUCCCACUCCGCCUCGUGUCCCGGGGCCAGAGGCUUGGAGAGCACACGUGGUUAGCCCAGCACACAAGUCCAGACUCGAAGCCCACCAAGCACCUUGGCAAACGCUCGCUGUCAGGGUUGUGUAUGCCACACAGCGUUAUCCGCUAUGGGAGAACAGAUGUGGGGAACGGUCCAUCAGGCCCUGGAAGCGGCCCGGUGUUAUCUGGGCGUGGAAUCCAGGGUCUUGGGCACCAGGAGCAUGGUCUGGGUCGGGGGUGUUGUGUACGCGUGGGCACGUUCCCCUGACCCCUAUGACGCCUUGCACUGUGAGGAGCGUGGCUGGAAGAAGGUUAUCUAAAAGCCAGGGUCUAGGACUCCCAGUUGCUCAGAUCUGUGGGCAGCACUGCUCAAAAAUCAGCCUAAGGCCUUCUUUUAAAUUCAAAUGCCUACAUUCUGCUUCCAGAUAUUCUGAUGUAACAGCUUUGUGGUGAGGGCCCGGCCUCCGCCUGUGCAAUCAGAGGGAGUCCACAUUACUGCCUACAUUUCCUGGAUUCCUGAAAUAUGUGGGCCAGUACCCUGGGCUCCACUAUGAACUCUGGCACAUUUACAUGGAAGUCCAGCCACAUUACAUUGUAAACGAAGGCAGAAUGCCGACUUGAAUUCACUCAGGGAUGCGGAGCAGGUGGUCGGAAUACCAGACACAAAAGUGAAGCAAGACCUUCUGUAACAGGUGGAUUUGAGACGAGAGCUGGAUCUCGAGAGGGAACAAAAAGGGUGUGGUCGGCAGGAGAACAGCCUCCGUAAAAUGUCCACAUUCGAAUCUCUGGAACCUGUGAAUACGUCACACUAAAUGGGAAGAGGAAAUCUGCAGAUGUGACUAAAUUAAGGAUUUUGAGAUGGGGAGAUUAUCCUGGAUUAUUUGGAUGGUCUUCAUGCAAACUCAAGGAUCCUGAUAAAGGACAGAGGGAGGCAGGGAAGGCAUAGAAGAAGUUGCUCUAGAAACAGAGGUCAGAGUCAAAUUUAAAGAUACAAGGAGUUCUAAAGAUGCUACUGUGUUGCUUCUGGCUGGGAGUAUGGAGGAAGGGGCUGUUAGCUAAGGAAUGCAAGCGGCCUCUAGAAGUUGGAGGCCGCAGAAGGAAUGCAGUCCUGCUGAUGUCUUAGUUUAGCCCAGUGAGACUGACUCUGGACUUCUGACUUCUAGAACUGGAAGAUGACAAAUCUGUGUUAUUUUGAGCCACUUAAUCUGUGGUAGUUUGUUACAGUAAUAGGAAACUAAUUUAACGCCUGGAACCAGUCGGCUCAAGCUCUCUUGUGGCUGCUGUGUGCCUUCAGAUGUGGCCUUUUGUCUGGUAUCUGC